CCUCUGACGUUAGCGGCGGACGGGUGAGUAACACGUGGGUAACCUACCUAUAAGACUGGGAUAACUCCGGGAAACCGGGGCUAAUACCGGAUAAUACAUGAAACCGCAUGGUUUCAUGAUGAAAGACGGUUUUGCUGUCACUUAUAGAUGGACCCGCGGCGUAUUAGCUAGUUGGUAAGGUAACGGCUUACCAAGGCAACGAUACGUAGCCGACCUGAGAGGGUGAUCGGCCACACUGGAACUGAGACACGGUCCAGACUCCUACGGGAGGCAGCAGGU
rnacentral:rRNA from 1 species